rnacentral:rRNA from 1 species
GGGGGCAACCCUGGCGGCGAGCGGCGAACGGGUGAGUAAUACAUCGGAACGUACCCAGGAGUGGGGGAUAACACAUCGAAAGAUGUGCUAAUACCGCAUACGCCCUGAGGGGGAAAGCGGGGGAUCGCAAGACCUCGCGCUGUUGGAGCGGCCGAUGUCGGAUUAGCUAGUUGGUAGGGUAAAGGCCUACCAAGGCGACGAUCCGUAGCUGGUCUGAGAGGAUGAUCAGCCACACUGGGACUGAGACACGGCCCAGACUCCUACGGGAGGCAGCAGUGGGGAAUUUUGGACAAUGGGGGCAACCCUGAUCCAGCCAUUCCGCGUGAGUGAAGAAGGCCUUCGGGUUGUAAAGCUCUUUCGGCAGGAACGAAACGGCGGGCUCUAACAUGGCCUGUCAAUGACGGUACCUGAAGAAGAAGCACCGGCUAACUACGUGCCAGCAGCCGCGGUAAUACGUAGGGUGCGAGCGUUAAUCGGAAUUACUGGGCGUAAAGCGUGCGCAGGCGGUUUUGUAAGACAGCUGUGAAAUCCCCGGGCUUAACCUGGGAACUGCGGUUGUGACUGCAAGACUAGAGUGCGGCAGAGGGGGGUGGAAUUCCACGUGUAGCAGUGAAAUGCGUAGAGAUGUGGAGGAACACCGAUGGCGAAGGCAGCCCCCUGGGUUGACACUGACGCUCAUGCACGAAAGCGUGGGUAGCAAACAGGAUUAGAUACCCUGGUAGUCCACGCCCUAAACGAUGCCAACUAGGUGUUGGGGAAGGAGACUUCCUUAGUACCGUAGCUAACGCGUGAAGUUGGCCGCCUGGGGAGUACGGUCGCAAGAUUAAAACUCAAAGGAAUUGACGGGGACCCGCACAAGCGGUGGAUGAUGUGGAUUAAUUCGAUGC